GACAGAGGUGCCAAGCGUUAGGCGGAAUCACUGGGCUUAAAGCGUGCGCAGGCGGUUUUGUAAGUCUGUCGUGAAAUCCCCGGGCUCAACCUGGGAAUUGCGAUGGAGACUGCAAGGCUAGAAUCUGGCAGAGGGGGGUAGAAUUCCACGUGUGAGCAGUGAAAUGCGUAGAGAUGUGGAGGAACACCGAUGGCGAAGGCAGCCCCCUGGGUCAAGAUUGACGC
rnacentral:rRNA from 1 species